CACGUAGGGCGCAAGCGUUGUCCGGAAUUAUUGGGCGUAAAGGGCGCGUAGGUGGCGGGACAAGCGUGCGGUGAAAGCUCGGGGCUCAACCCCGGGUCGGCCGUGCGAACUGUUUUGCUUGAGCACUGUAGAGGCAGGCGGAAUUCCGGGUGUAGCGGUGGAAUGCGUAGAGAUCCGGAAGAACACCGGUGGCGAAGGCGGCCUGCUGGGCAGUAGCUGACACUGAGGCGCGACAGCGUGGGGAGCAAACAGG
rnacentral:rRNA from 1 species